AGUGAACGCUGGCGGUAUGCCUAACACAUGCAAGUCGAACGGCCGGACAGUAAGCUCUCGCUUUUACUGGUGGCGAGGGGCGGACGGGUGAGGAAUAGAUCGGAUUCUUCUUUUUCGUGGGGGAUUACGUAGGGCAACUUCUGCUAAUACCUCAUAUUUCCAACGGCUGAAUGCAAGGGAUCUUCGGACUCUUCCUGACUCAUAUAGCCGAUGCCGGAUUAGCUAGUUGGCAGGGUAAAGGCGCACCAAGGCAACGAUCCGAAGCUGACCUGAGAGGAUGAUCGGCCACACUGGAACUGAGACACGGUCCAGACUCCUACGGGAGGCAGCAGUAGGGAAUCUUCCGCAAGGGGCGAAAGCCUGACGGAGCAACGCCGCGGGGGUGAGGAAGGUCUUCGGAUCGUAAAACUCUGUUAUUAGGGAAGAACAUAUGUGUAAGUAACCGCGCACAUCUUGACGGUACCUAAUCAGAAAGCCACGGCUAACUACGUG
rnacentral:rRNA from 1 species